rnacentral:misc_RNA from 1 species
GCCCAACAUCGGUUUUACGUGGGGGUGACUGAGAUGCACGCAUCUAUUUUCCCAAAAGCAAAUCCCAACUACUGCCCUUUCAUUUUCAGUAAAGUCCUUUUUACCUCCAAUCUCUCUCUCUCUCCCUCUCUCUGUCUCUCUCUUUUCUGUGAAUGGAAAUGUGUGUCCAGUGCUUCCGCAGAAACGUUUGCUUCCUCCGAUAAAUUUUCCACCCACUUUUCUGCAGAAUACCUAUCAAUCACCGGAUCUAUCUCUGCAGGCAGCCAACACUCAACAUGCUUCGAUCAUUAGCCAGAGGCUUCAAGAACCUGGUCAUCCAUGAUUCUUUGGCUAAGCAUGCAAGAUCUUAUUCCAUGCCCACUUCUAAAAGGUUAGAAGGUAAAGUAGCCCUAAUAACUGGGGGUGCAAGUGGGCUUGGCAAGGCCACUGCCCAUGAAUUCAUUCAACAUGGAGCCCAAGUCGUAAUUGUCGAUAUUGAUUCUGAGUUGGGCCAAAAUGUUUCCAAUGAUCUGGGCCCUGCAGCCCAUUUUGUCCAAUGUGAUGUUUCUGUGGAGGCCCAAGUAAAAGAAGCCGUAGAGAUUGCGGUUGCCCGUCAUGGUAAACUCGACAUAAUGUACAACAACGCCGGGAUAACAGGUCCGUCCGUACCGCCGAGCAUCGUAGACCUCGACCUUGGAGAGUUCGACAGGGUAAUGCAAGUCAACGUUCGGGGCACGAUUGCAGGAAUAAAGCAUGCAGCCCGAGUAAUGAUACCCGCGGGCUCCGGGUCCAUUCUAUGUACAUCUAGCAUAUGUGGGGUAUUGGGUGGGCUUGGCCCACAUUCAUACACAAUAUCAAAAUAUACAAUGCCUGGGAUAGUGAGGUCAAUAGCAAGUGAGCUAUGCAGAAAUGGAAUAAGGAUCAAUUGCAUUUCACCAGGCCCAAUUCCAACUCCGCUAUCAGUAAGCCAAAUAGGCCAAUUCUACCCUGGAGCUACAAGGGAGAAGAUAGUUGAGAUUAUAAAUGGUCUUGGAGAGCUGAAGGGGGCAAACUGUGAAGAAAUCGAUGUGGCCAAGGCUGCCUUGUAUUUGGCAUCAGAUGAAGCAAAGUACAUAACUGGUCACAACCUUGUUGUUGAUGGAGGAUUCACUUGCUUUAAAAGUCUCAGCUUCCCUGCUCCUGAUGAAAUUGUGUAAUAUUUGGCAUUUUCUUAAAUGUUUAGCUCAUUCUUCUUGUUUCUUAAUAAAAAAAACUAAAAUAAUAACUUUUUUCAUAAUGAGAACAUUCCGCUUCUUGCAUUCACAUAUACGUGAGACCUUUUAUAAAUCAUGGAAAGUGAAUUUCUU